rnacentral:rRNA from 1 species
UACAGAGGUCUCAAGCGUUGUUCGGAUUCAUUGGGCGUAAAGGGUGCGUAGGCGGCGGGGCAAGUCAGGUGUGAAAUCCCGGAGCUCAACUCCGGAACUGCACUUGAUACUGCCUCGCUAGAGUACUGGAGAGGAGACUGGAAUUUACGGUGUAGCAGUGAAAUGCGUAGAGAUCGUAAGGAAGACCAGUGGCGAAGGCGAGUCUCUGGACAGUUACUGACGCUGAGGAGCGAAAGUGUGGGGAGCGAACAGG